UACGUAGGGUGCGAGCGUUAAUCGGAAUUACUGGGCGUAAAGCGUGCGUAGGCGGUUUGCCGUGUCCUGUGUGAAAGCCCCGGGCUCAACCUGGGAAUUGCAUGGGAAACUGGCAGGCUUGAGUGUGGCAGAGGAGGGUGGAAUUCCGCGUGUAGCAGUGAAAUGUGUAGAGAUGCGGAGGAACACCGAUGGCGAAGGCAGCCCUCUGGGCCAACACUGACGCUCAGGCACGAAAGCGUGGGGAGCAAACGGG
rnacentral:rRNA from 1 species